UUCGAUACUUUGAUCCUGUUCGGAAGAGAAGCUCCAUCCUUUGGCAUCACGAUGAAGGCUGCUGUUAUUCUUGCUGUUUUUGCUGCGGUGCUGUGUGCCAGCACUGUCAACUGUGACUGCCUUUGUCCCCGCAUCCUUGACCCCGUCUGUGACACCGCCGGCAACUACUACGAAAACUCGUGUCAGUUGAACUGUGUUGAGGGUGCCGUCCAGGCCGCAGAAGGCGCAUACACCUUCAGUGCCAACUCUUGCGUUGCUGCCAGGAAGUAGAUGACU